ACGAUGAAGCUUCUAGCUUGCUAGAAGUGGAUUAGUGGCGCACGGGUGAGUAAGGUAUAGUUAAUCUGCCCUACACAAGAGGACAACAGUUGGAAACGACUGCUAAUACUCUAUACUCCUGCUUAACACAAGUUGAGUAGGGAAAGUUUUUCGGUGUAGGAUGAGACUAUAUAGUAUCAGCUAGUUGGUAAGGUAAUGGCUUACCAAGGCUAUGACGCUUAACUGGUCUGAGAGGAUGAUCAGUCACACUGGAACUGAGACACGGUCCAGACUCCUACGGGAGGCAGCAGUAGGGAAUAUUGCGCAAUGGGGGAAACCCUGACGCAGCAACGCCGCGUGGAGGAUGACACUUUUCGGAGCGUAAACUCCUUUUCUUAGGGAAGAAUUCUGACGGUACCUAAGGAAUAAGCACCGGCUAACUCCGUGCCAGCAGCCGCGGUAAUACGGAGGGUGCAAGCGUUACUCGGAAUCACUGGGCGUAAAGGGCGCGUAGGCGGAUUAUCAAGUCUCUUGUGAAAUCUAAUGGCUUAACCAUUAAACUGCUUGGGAAACUGAUAGUCUAGAGUGAGGGAGAGGCAGAUGGAAUUGGUGGUGUAGGGGUAAAAUCCGUAGAUAUCACCAAGAAUACCCAUUGCGAAGGCGAUCUGCUGGAACUCAACUGACGCUAAGGCGCGAAAGCGUGGGGAGCAAACAGGAUUAGAUACCCUGGUAGUCCACGCCCUAAACGAUGUACACUAGUUGUUGGGGUGCUAGUCAUCUCAGUAAUGCAGCUAACGCAUUAAGUGUACCGCCUGGGGAGUACGGUCGCAAGAUUAAAACUCAAAGGAAUAGACGGGGACCCGCACAAGCGGUGGAGCAUGUGGUUUAAUUCGAAGAUACGCGAAGAACCUUACCUGGGCUUGAUAUCCUAAGAACCUUUUAGAGAUAAGAGGGUGCUAGCUUGCUAGAACUUAGAGACAGGUGCUGCACGGCUGUCGUCAGCUCGUGUCGUGAGAUGUUGGGUUAAGUCCCGCAACGAGCGCAACCCACGUAUUUAGUUGCUAACGGUUCGGCCGAGCACUCUAAAUAGACUGCCUUCGUAAGGAGGAGGAAGGUGUGGACGACGUCAAGUCAUCAUGGCCCUUAUGCCCAGGGCGACACACGUGCUACAAUGGCAUAUACAAUGAGACGCAAUACCGCGAGGUGGAGCAAAUCUAUAAAAUAUGUCCCAGUUCGGAUUGUUCUCUGCAACUCGAGAGCAUGAAGCCGGAAUCGCUAGUAAUCGUAGAUCAGCCAUGCUACGGUGAAUACGUUCCCGGGUCUUGUACUCACCGCCCGUCACACCAUGGGAGUUGAUUUCACUCGAAGCCGGAAUACUAAACUAGU
rnacentral:rRNA from 1 species